rnacentral:rRNA from 1 species
UACGUAGGGUGCGAGCGUUGUCCGGAAUUACUGGGCGUAAAGAGCUCGUAGGUGGUUUGUCGCGUUGUCCGUGAAAACUCACAACUCAAUUGUGGGCGUGCGGGCGAUACGGGCAGACUGGAGUACUGCAGGGGAGACUGGAAUUCCUAGUGUAGCGGUUGAAUGCGCAGAUAUCAGGAGGAACACCGGUGGCGAAGGCGGGUCUCUGGGCAGUAACUGACGCUGAGGAGCGAAAGCGUGGGGAGCGAACAGG